AAGAAGAAGAAGAAGAAGAAGAAGAAGUGAAGCGACGAGAAGAGCUGCUGCUGAAGCGUGGCGCGCGGCACGGAGGCUGAUUCUGGUAAGAUUGACUUCUGUCUCUGCUCACUCUGUGAAGAGCGGCGAAGUAUUCUCGCCUGUCGGGUCUGUCAGUGGUCUGAUCAGGGCUAGAGCUUCGCUAGAUCAACACCAGCACGAGACUCAGAUCGGCCUGCUGUGCUUCAUCUGUUCUCCUCCUGCUCCGCUGGUCACACCUGACUCUCUGUAGGAUCAGGACAGGAACUAUAAAACAUGCUUCUCCAGUCCCUCAUGUUUCCCCUGGUCAAUAUAAAUCCAGAUCAUUCAUUAAUCAAGUGCUUUAGAUAACUAGAUAUAUCACACGUCUGUAGGGAGACGCUGUUUAACAAAAAGCAAUAGGUUUACUUGAUUUACUGUGGUUAAAGCAGCAAUAACAUAAUUUUCUUUCCCCAGGUUGAUGAUGCCAUCAGAACAUCCGAGCAUCAAAUAAUUAAUGUCCAGUCCUGAACACCCAAGCGAGGUCUUCAUUACAAGUUCAGUACAUUUUUUUUUUACAUUUAUUUUAUUUAGUUCUUUAUUUAACAGGGACAAUGGAGAGUCAAAGACUGCCACAGAAUCAGCCUCGGAGCUCUUUUCCUCUUCUGUCUCAGGGCAGUAGAGUACCAAACCACAUUACAGAAACAUCAAUAUAAGCAUAUACAUUAAAAUCAGCCCAGCCAAAAUUUCGAAGAUUAGAAAUUUAAUCUCGCACAUCACCUACAAUAAAAUAAAUCAGACCCCCAAACUUAUGUAACCAGAAUAAGAGCAUUCAAUGGUCACAAACCUGACUCAUCCUUUAAAGCAGGACACGUCUUAUAUUAAUUGGUAAAUGACUCCAUUAACAGCCUUACAGACAGAAAAAUCUCUAAAUACAAUCACCUCUUGAUGAAGCUUUCACUUCUAUUGAAAUUUGACUCUGUAUAAUUUUAAAAUUUGAGGUUUUAACAUGCUUUUCAAAAUAUAUCUCAAGAUAUAAAAAAAUCCGGCACAAUUUGUAAUUUUCUCACCAUUGACAUACAUCCGGUUAGACCACUACCUUCUUUUUUGUUUUAAAGUUCAUACAGGCACUUUUCCAAACAUUUCAUGUUAAAAAGCACUGUGGAAGGCAGUCUAAAACAUUUCAACAUUGCAAUAGAUAAUUUUUGUGCCAUCAUCAGUGUCAUCUGCAUUUGAAUAUGUACCACAGGACAAACAUCUGGAAAGUCUGCUAAUACAAGCUAAAAAGUAGGGGCCCUAGGGUCGACCCCUGAGGCACCCAAGUGAAACAAUCUCUUAAAGAGGAUAUGUGUGUUUUUGUGUUUCCUUGAUGCAAGAUUCAAUCCAUUUUAUUGUUAAUGAAAAGUUAAAAUGUCUUGAGGUGUGGUAACUGUAGUAUAAGCCGAAUAAUUGACUCCGGGCUGUUGAAUUAUUACCUCAGGUGUGCAUCGUCAAUUAUUCCUUACUUAAUGUGUCGUAUGUCAUUUGUAAAUCAAAGAACACAGCACCCACAACCCUAGUCUGAUUUACCUGCUCCAUAAAAUAAAGCAUACAAUAGGUUUGCCCAGUUACUAUUUUUUUUCUACUAUUUUAACUACUGACUAAAUUCAAAUCUGCCUAUAAUUAGCCACAAUAGUCGGAUCACCUGCCUUGAAAGCUAGAGGAAUGUAGAUUGUCUAAAUGAUAAAUUCACAAAAUAAUUAAUUGGUACAAAAAAAGUCACUAUUGUUUUUAAAAAGUUCCAUAAAGUUAUCUAAACCAUAUAUUUCUUAACCAUUGGGACUUUUGAAAUCUUUUCUAAUGUGAAUUGUAUGCUCAGAAAAUUGUUAAAUGAAAUGUAGAUUUUACAGAAUUAACUAAAUUAAGUUCUUUAUAUCUUAUUCCAGAUUUAUCUCUCAAACUCAACAAAGUAAUCAUUAAAUAGAUCUGCUAUUUUGUCAGAUGUAUCAAUUAUUCUUUCUUUAAAACCUAUUUCUAAAAAUGUUUUUGUUUUUGUCAACUGAUUAUGGGUUUGCCAUCAACUUUAGCCUCAUUGAAAAUAUUAAUAAAGUAAUGUGCCAUAUCCUGUCAUUUAUCAGACCAAAGGGAGUAAAAUCUAUUUAAAAAAAAAACACACUCUUAAGUUUUUUAAAGUUAUCAAAAAAUUAAAUAUCAGAUUAAGGGGGUUUAUAAACUGCAACAAUAGUGAAAUAUAUUUGUGGAAUAAUUAAAACCUCAGUAUAAUAAAAAUUUUAUUAUUUUAAAAGGUUCAUCUGCAGGAUCUGAGUGGUGAUGCUAUAUGUGGGUUUUAAAUACACUACUGAAACUUGUACAGUUGUCUUUUUUUUUUUUUUUUUUUUUACUUUAAACAUGUAAAAUCCUACAGAAAAUGGUUAUUAUGCAGUACAAUAUUAUGGGAUAAAUGUCAUUAAGAUGAGUUAGGAACUUAUGUGUCAGUUGUGAUGCAUUCGCUCCAGAACUGAUCUUAAAUCAGUUAAUGCUCAGUCCUCUUCAUCACAGAGUUAAGAAAUGCAAUUUUUUUGUGUGCUGUUUGUGAGAAAUGUAGAAACAUUUAGGUGUUUUUAUUUUAUUAAAUUAAAAUAAACAAAUUUCACACUGAAGCACUGUAUUGCAGCUGGAGUCAUUUUGGCCAAAAUCAUGUGAUCUAUUGUUUGUCUCAGUAUUCAACCUAUUACUGUAACUACUUGCCUGUGAAAUAAAAUAAAAGGAACAAUAUAUUCA